UACGUAGGUGGCAAGCGUUGUCCGGAUUUACUGGGCGUAAAGGGCGUGCAGGCGGUUUGUUAAGUUCAGGGUGAAAGCUCCCGGCUCAACUGGGAGAGGUCCUUGGAUACUGGCAGACUUGAGGAGGGUAGAGGAGAGUGGAAUUCCCGGUGUAGUGGUGAUAUGCGUAGAUAUCGGGAGGAACACCAGUGGCGAAGGCGACCCGCUGGGUCACACCUGACACUGAGACGCGACAGCAUGGGGAGCGAACGGG
rnacentral:rRNA from 1 species